rnacentral:rRNA from 1 species
GAUGAACGCUGGCGGCGUGCCUAAUACAUGCAAGUCGAGCGAACAGACGAGGAGCUUGCUCCUUCGACGUUAGCGGCGGACGGGUGAGUAACACGUAGGUAACCUACCUAUAAGACUGGGAUAACUUCGGGAAACCGGAGCUAAUACCGGAUAAUAUUUCGAACCGCAUGGUUCGAUGGUGAAAGAUGGCUUUGCUAUCACUUAUAGAUGGACCUGCGCCGUAUUAGCUAGUGGGUAAGGUAAUGGCUUACCAAGGCAACGAUACGUAGCCGACCUGAGAGGGUGAUCGGCCACACUGGAACUGAGACACGGUCCAGACUCCUACGGGAGGCAGCAGUAGGGAAUCUUCCGCAAUGGGCGAAAGCCUGACGGAGCAACGCCGCGUGAGUGAUGAAGGUCUUCGGAUCGUAAAACUCUGUUAUUAGGGAAGAACAAACGUGUAAGUAACUGUGCACGUCUUGACGGUACCUAAUCAGAAAGCCACGGCUAACUACGUG